rnacentral:lncRNA from 1 species
GACAGGUGUCGUCUCUUUGAGUAUGGCCAGGGUGAUUGAAAACUCAGCCUCAAAACAAAAAAUUCACUAGUUAUGAUUCAACGCGUUCAACAGAAGCCAUCCCCAGCCCAGCUUAAAUUAUAAAGAUAGACAAUAACUCUGUUCCAAUCUGCGUGGUGCUUCUUUAGUAAAUACUGUACAGAUUUUACCAUGGAGAACUUUUUUUUUAGUUUUUACCUUUUCUUAAUUACCCUUAUUCCGAAUGGACGAACACUUUCUACCACUGCUGACCAUUGUAAAAUACCGUGUAUAUAAAUCCCAUUGAAAUAAUGCCCUGGAAUAGAACAUCUCAAAUGCUGCUUAAUUACAGACUCAGGUCGAUUACUUGUAUUUCAUGUAAUGUUCCUCCAAGUUAGACAUCUGGUGCAAGACCAACCGGGAGACCAUGGAAUUGUCAAAAGUACAAACUGACAGUGUGUAUAUUUAAUUUAAAGACUUAUUUAAAAACUCACAAGCUCUCACCUAGACUUUGGAGAGCAGUCUGUUUUCUGUAAUGUCUGAUACUAGAAACUAAUUUGCUUAUUUUAGUUGUAUUCAAGAUUUGAAGAUGUAUUUUAUAGACAAGUUCUGUUUUUGAACUUUGUGGAACUGUUCCAAUCAAUCAAUUUCCCAGUUAUGAUGAGUAUUUACAUUAUGAAUGUAUAACCCAGACAUGAUUUGUAAAGCCGACAGUAUGUUUCUAUUACACAACAC